rnacentral:tRNA from 1 species
AAGGCUUUAGAUUAAUUAAAGUGUCUGUUUUGCAUGCAGAAGAUGUGGGUUAGUGUCUGCAGGUCUUAA